rnacentral:rRNA from 1 species
UGAGGAAUAUUGGUCAAUGGGCGAGAGCCUGAACCAGCCAAGUAGCGUGAGGGACGACUGCCCUAUGGGUUGUAAACCUCUUUUGAUUGGGAACAAAGAGCGCCACGUGUGGUGCGUUGCGUGUACCUUUCGAAUAAGCAUCGGCUAAUUCCGUGCCAGCAGCCGCGGUAAUACGGAAGAUGCGAGCGUUAUCCGGAUUUAUUGGGUUUAAAGGGAGCGUAGGCCGUCUUUUAAGCGUGUUGUGAAAUACUGUCGCUCAACGACAGAGGUGCAGCGCGAACUGGGAGACUUGAGUGCGCGGAAUGCAGGCGGAAUUCGUCGUGUAGCGGUGAAAUGCUUAGAUAUGACGAAGAACUCCGAUUGCGAAGGCAGCUUGCAGUAGCGUAACUGACGCUGAAGCUCGAAAGUGCGGGUAUCGAACAGGAUUAGAUACCCU